CCCUUAGAUGUUCUGGGCCGCACGCGUGCUACACUGAGUAAUUCAAUGGGUAAGGGAACGCUAGAGCAUUACCUAAUCUUGAAAUUUGCUCGUGAUGGGGAUCGACGGUUGCAAUUUUCCGUCGUGAACGAGGAAUACCUUGUAGGCGCAUGUCAUCAUCAUGCGCCGAAUGCGUCCCUGCCCUUUGUACACACCGCCCGUCGCUCCUACCGAUUGAGUGAUCCGGUGAGGCUCUGGGACCUGGACGGAAAGAGCGUUUCGCUUGUUCUGUUUGGGAAACUUGGUCGAACCUUAUCAUUUAGAGGAAGGAGAAGUCGUAACA
rnacentral:rRNA from 1 species